rnacentral:misc_RNA from 1 species
GAAAUGCGAUAAGUAAUGUGAAUUGCAGAAUUCAGUGAAUCAUCGAAUCUUUGAACGCACAUUGCGCCCUUUGGCAUUCCGAAGGGCAUGCCUGUUCGAGCGUCAUUACACCAAUCAAGCCUGGCUUGGUAUUGGGCGACGGGGUCGGUCGAACCACCCCCCGCCCCAAAGACAUUUCCGGCGGGACGGACCGAAUCUCAGCGUUGUGCAAACGUGUCGCUGGCGAGACGGGACGGCCGUGCCGUUAAACCCCAUUUUCUUCAAGGUUGACCUCGGAUCAGGUAGGGAUACCCGCUGAACUUAAGC